UACAGAGGGUGCUAGCGUUGUUCGGAAUCAUUGGGCGUAAAGGGCGUGUAGGCGGUUUGUUAAGUCAUGUGUGAAAUCCCUCGGCUCAACCGGGGAAGGACGCAUGAAACUGGCAGCUAGAGUACCAAAGAGGGGGGUGGAAUUCCCGGUGUAGCGGUGGAAAUGCGUAGAUAUCGGGAGGAACACCUGUGGCGAAGGCGGCCCCCUGGUUGGAUACUGACGCUGAUACGCGAAAGCGUGGGGAGCAAACAGG
rnacentral:rRNA from 1 species